rnacentral:rRNA from 1 species
CCUACGGGGUGCUGCAGUGGGGGAUAUUGCACAAUGGGGGGAACCCUGAUGCAGCGACGCCGCGUGGGUGAAGGAGUGCUUCGGCAUGUAAAGCCCUAUCGGCAGGGAAGAAGCAAGACGGUACCUGACUAAGAAGCCCCGGCUAACUACGUGCCAGCAGCCGCGGUAAUACGUAGGGGGCGAGCGUUAUCCGGAUUCACUGGGUGUAAAGGGAGCGUAGACGGCCAAGCAAGCCAGGGGUGAAAGCCCGGGGCCCAACCCCGGGACUGCCCUUGGAACUGCAUGGCUGGAGUGCGGGAGGGGCAGGCGGAAUUCCUGGUGUAGCGGUGAAAUGCGUAGAUAUCACGAAGAACCCCGAUUGCGAAGGCAGCAUACCGGCUCCACACUGACGCUGAGGCACGAAAGCGUGGGUAUCGAACAGGAUUAGAUACCCGGGUAGUC